rnacentral:rRNA from 1 species
UACGAAGGGGGCUAGCGUUGUUCGGAAUUACUGGGCGUAAAGCGCGCGUAGGCGGACCUGCAAGUCGGGGGUGAAAGCCCGAGGCUCAACCUCGGAACUGCCUUCGAUACUGCGGGUCUCGAGUCCGGGAGAGGUGAGUGGAAUUCCUAGUGUAGAGGUGAAAUUCGUAGAUAUUAGGAAGAACACCGGUGGCGAAGGCGGCCCACUGGUCCGGUACUGACGCUGAGGUGCGAAAGCGUGGGGAGCAAACAGG